UACGGAGGGGGCAAGCGUUGUCCGGACUUACUGGGCGUAAAGGGUGCGUAGGCGGCCUGCUGCGUCGGUGCUGAAAGCGCCCGGCUUAACCGGGCGAGGCGUGCCGAUACGAGCGGGCUGGAGCCUUGGCGAGGGUGGCGGAACUCCUGGUGUAGUGGUGAAAUGCGUAGAGAUCAGGAAGAACACCCGUGGCGCAAGCGGCCACCUGGCCAAGAGCUGACGCUGAGGCACGAGAGCGUGGGGAGCGAAC
rnacentral:rRNA from 2 species